rnacentral:rRNA from 1 species
UACGUAGGGGGCAAGCGUUGUCCGGAUUUAUUGGGCGUAAAGAGCUCGUAGGUGGUUCGGUAAGUCGGAUGUGAAAUCUCCAGGCUCAACCUGGAGGGGUCAUUCGAUACUGCCGUGACUAGAGGGUCGGUAGGGGAGUGUGGAAUUCCUGGUGGAGCGGUGAAAUGCGCAGAGUAUCAGGAGGAACACCCGUAGCGAAGGCGGCACUCUGGGCCGAUACUGACACUGAGGAGCGAAAGCGUGGGGAGCGAACAGG